AAAAAUUUAAUGUACUUUCGUAAAAUAAUUUUGAUGUGGCAGCGAUUUGAAAAGGAAAUUAGUUAAAAAUAAUACAAAAAAAUCGGACAUUUUUUGAUAUUAAAACAUGAAUAACUUGGGCUGUGUUGACAGUAGAAAAAUUUAUUAACCUCUAUCCGACAGCUUUAAAAUUUUUCUACGCGCCGCGCAAAUCCACGCGCGCAUUUUAGCGUGUCAAAAUCGUUUAAAACUAGAAUUAGUUGAUGAAGGAGCAUAAUGCAGAUCAUACGUUGUACGUGUGGCUUGAACAUUAUGAUUUCGCGCCAUUUCUUGUUUCUGCACUCGCUUUGAACUUUCAUGGCUUUAACAGCAGUUAUCGACUGACGACUUUGCUGUAUUACAUAGUGUACUUGGUACAUAAUUGAUCAACGAUAAUAGGAGGAACCCCUGCAAGCUAUAAAGGGCUCGUGUUACUUUAACAUCACUUUUGAAUUUCACGAAAGCAGAUAAAAGUUUUAGUGACGUUGCAGAAACUCCGGAAUACUGUGGAUUGGGAGGAGGAGAAAGUGAUAAUUCUGUUAUAUGGCCUGUUUCUAGGACACGAUAAACUUCCUAAUAAGUUAACAACUCUACCUCGAUUCGAUGCAGUGCACAGUGGGAAAGGUUGAAGUUGACGUUCAAGCAGUCACCCUGCCGAACAAGAAAUCUUUCAGGCCAAGAGGCUAGGUGACUAGAAACUCAAUCACUAUAUCCGUGAAACUUGUCGGGAGCACUGUUAUUUGUGGAGGUCGGACCGAAACUGUAAUCAGACACUAAACAUUGACGAGGACCAAUUACUCUACUCUUUAUAUGAUUAAUAAAGAUCGCUGAUUGCUUUUACUAAUGUAUAAUGUUAAAAUGAAAGAGAAACUA